AUUGAACGCUGGCGGCAGGCCUAACACAUGCAAGUCGAGCGAGCGGCGGACGGGUGAGUAAUGUAUGGGGACUGCCCGAUAGAGGGGGAUAACUACUGGAAACGGUGGCUAAUACCGCAUACUAUCGGAUAACCCAUAUGGGAUUAGCUAGUAGGUGGGGUAAAGGCUCACCUAGGCGACGAUCUCUAGCUGGUCUGAGAGGCGGAUAAGCCACACGGGGACGUGGACACGGCCCAGAGUCCUACGGAGGCAGCAGUGGGGAAUAUUGGACAAUGGGGGCAAGCCUGAUGCAGACAGGCCGCGGGUAGGAAGAAGGCCUUAGGGUUGUAAAGUACUUUCAGCGGGGAGGCGUUACCCGCAGAGGAAGCACCGGCUAACUCCGUGCCAGCAGCCGCGGUAAUAC
rnacentral:rRNA from 1 species